CCAAGAAAUAGUAUCAAACAAGAAUGUGUCCUCAGUACACGAAUGCCCCACUCGCACUAUCAUUUUUCUAUGUUCAGUGGACCGUGAAAUUGGGGUAAAAUCUCUAAUUUGGCAUUAAAAUUAGAAAGAUCAUAUCAUAGGGAACAUGUGUACCAAGUUUGAAGUCGAUUGGACUUCAACUUCAUCAAAAACUACCUCGACCAAAAACUUUAACCUGAAGCGGGACAGACGGACGAACGGACGAACGGACGAACGAACGGACGGACGAACGGACGCACAGACCAGAAAACAUAAUGCCCCUCUACUAUCGUAGGUGGGGCAUAAAAAGCUU
rnacentral:lncRNA from 1 species